rnacentral:rRNA from 1 species
CUACGGGAGACACCAGUGGGGAAUAUUGCACAAUGGAGGAAACUCUGAUGCAGCAACGCCGCGUGGAGGAUGACACUUUUCGGAGCGUAAACUCCUUUUAUAUAGGAAGAAGAUGACGGUACUAUAUGAAUAAGCGCCGGCUAACUCCGUGCCAGCAGCCGCGGUAAUACGGAGGGCGCAAGCGUUACUCGGAAUCACUGGGCGUAAAGAGCGUGUAGGCGGAUUAAAAAGUCAGAAGUGAAAUCCUAUAGCUUAACUAUAGAGCUGCUUCUGAAACUCUUAAUCUAGAAUAUGGGAGAGGUAGAUGGAAUUUCUGGUGUAGGGGUAAAAUCCGUAGAGAUCAGAAGGAAUACCGAUUGCGAAGGCGAUCUACUAGAACAUUAUUGACGCUGAGACGCGAAAGCGUGGGGAGCAAACAGGAUUAGAUACCCCCGUAGUC